GACUUUUCGGAAUGUACAACUUUUCUACUGCUGGUUUUACAAGGCGUACACGUUUUCACGGUGCUCCAUGAUUGUGAGAGGAAUAAAAGAAUUGUGGACAUCA